rnacentral:rRNA from 1 species
AUUGAACGCUGGCGGCAUGCCUUACACAUGCAAGUCGAACGGCAGCACGGUUGCUUGCUCCUGGUGGCGGGUGGGGAAGGGGUGCGUAAUAGAUAGGCACCUGACCCGACGUUUUGGUUAGGGAGGAGAAAGCGGGAUUUAUACCGAUAACGAACUAGGGCUGCAAGUGGGGGACCUUCGGGUUUGGCCCUAUCGGGUUGGCAGAUGGCUGAUUAGCUGGUUGGUGGGGUAAAGGCCUACCAAGGCGACGAUCAGUAGCUGGUCUGAGAGGAAGAUCAGCCACACUGGAACUGAGACACGGCCCAGACUCCUACGGGAGGCAGCAGUGGGGAAUAUUGGACAAUGGGCGAAAGCCUGAUCCAGCCAUGCCGCGUGUGUGAAGAAGGCCUUCGGGUUGUAAAGCCCUUUUGUUCGGAAAGAAAACCAGCAGGCUAAUACGCUGCUGUUAUGACGGUACCCGAAGAAUAAGCACCGGCUAACUACGUG